CCCAGAAAUACUUGCUCUCACCAUCAGCAACACCUGAAUCCCUUAUAAGAAUCUUUUAGCAGCUUGUUGGCUUAUAAGAGAAAUGUACAGAUCUUUCUUAAGAGUAUGCAUUUUGGAGAAAGCUGUUUUUAAUGCUCCACCCACUUUCCUGAUGUCACUCACCUGAAAAAUCAAUUCAAGAAAGGUGUUCAUCCAGCUGACAAGUGGGACUCACAGCUGAACUUACUCCCAGUGAGCUUCCAUGACACAUCCAUGGACUUCUUCCCAGAAAGUUCUGCAGGCAGCACAGGCAACUUCUCAGCAAGUUCAGCAACACCCUCCCUGGGUGACUGCCAACAAGAGGAAAAGAUGGGCUCUCUUGAAACGUACACAGAAUUCUUACUAAAAUAGACUAUAUCCUGAGCCUUAAAUAAACUCUCAGUAUAUUGGAAACAAAUGAAAUCAUGCAAACUAUUUUCUCUGACCAAAGUGGAAUUGAAUCACAAAUUAACAAAGGAGAGCUAUCUGCAAAAUUG
ensembl:lncRNA